GCGUCUACAGUGGUCCGGCUUCAACUUCACUGAGCCCAUUCAUCUGUGCGUGCAUCGCUCAAAGAAACGAAAAUGAAUGUGAAAUUCCUUUUAAUAUUCGUCCUCGUCGUCCUGGUGUCCUGUUCUUACGCUGAGGAGGAGAAGAAGCCCGAAUCGCAAUGGGACAAAAUUGGAUCAAAACUCUCCGAAUUCUGGGAUAAGACUAAAGAAUCAGUGAGCGAGGGAGCGAAGACGAUCGGACACCACGCCGAGAAAUUCGGCGCAGACGCAAAGCAAACGGCGGAGAAGUUGUUCAAAAACGCGAAGACGGAGGUCGGCUUCACUCCGGAUACGGAAAAGAAGGAAUAACUUCGUGAUUAUAUCAGGAUGCUUCCAACAACUGAGUGAGAAGAGUUGCAAUAAACAAGCGAUCGAUUAAAGAAUCCGUCAACGUUUAAAC